GAAAACGUGCCCGAAAGAUAGGGUUCUCCUUGAUGGGGAGACUCACAGGGGUUCAAACCCCCUCGCUUUCU
rnacentral:tRNA from 1 species